UGCUGGUCCGAAGGUAGUGAGUUACCUCAAUUGAUUGUUCACAGUCAGUUACAGAUCAAACUCCUUGUUCUACUCUUUUCCCUCCUCCUCUCUACUGCACUUGACUAAUGUUAA
rnacentral:Y_RNA from 1 species